CAUUGAGUGGGCCGUCUAAAGGGUGCUCAGAGAAAAAGUCUGCUAUUUGGUUUGUAAUUGCGGCCCUAGGCUUGAUGGGAGACGGUACCAGGAACUCAUCGCUAAGUUCCUCUUGCCUAAAAAGACAACUGUGAGCCUUGGUAACUUUGAUGUCAAGGCGAGAGAACAGGAAGAAGGAAAUAACAGCAAAACUGGCAAGGAAAGCAAUGUGAGGCUGAGUUUGUUAUGGUCAUCUUUUGCAAUCUGGAAAGCUGUGCUACAGAGUUAUAAACAGUCUUUAUUAUGAAGAGUCUAUCACCUAAAUAGGCAUGUAAGAUAAAGGAAAGAGAAGAAAAGGUAACAUCAAUUAUCUUCUUUAGUCAUGGAAAAUGAAGUUAUUUUUCAGACUCAUUCAAGUCAGAAUCAAUAGCUGAAGUCUAUUCUCUCUUUUUACUACUCUCUCCUUACAAUAUAUCCCCAUAGUACCUCUCAAGCUAGCUCAGUUGUAGAUGCCUCCAUUGUCAAUAUCUG
rnacentral:lncRNA from 1 species